rnacentral:rRNA from 1 species
UGCGCAGGUGGGCUUGUAAGUCAGUGGUGAAAUACUGCCGCUUAACGGUAGAACUGCCAUUGAUACUGCAAGUCUUGAGUAUGGUUGAGGUAGGCGGAAUGUGUUGUGUAGCGGUGAAAUGCAUAGAUAUGACACAGAACUCCAAUUGCGAAGGCGGCUUACUAAGCCAUUACUGACGCUGAGGCACGAAAGCGUGGGGAGCGAACAGGAUUAGAUACCCUGGUAGUCC